UACGUAGGGUGCAAGCGUUGUCCGGAAUUAUUGGGCGUAAAGGGCUCGUAGGCGGUCCAUCGCGUCGGGAGUGAAAAGCUGGGGCUUAACCCCAGUCCUGCUUCCGAUACGGGUGGACUAGAGGUAGGUAGGGGAGAUCGGAAUUCCUGGUGUAGCGGUGAAAUGCGCAGAUAUCAGGAGGAACACCGAUGGCGAAGGCAGCCUUCUGGGCCAACACUGACGCUCAUGCACGAAAGCGUGGGGAGCAAACAGG
rnacentral:rRNA from 1 species